GACGAACGCUGGCGGCGUGCUUAACACAUGCAAGUCGAACGGAAAGGCCCUGCUUUUGUGGGGUGCUCGAGUGGCGAACGGGGGAGUAACACGUGAGUAACCUGUCCCUGACUGUGGGAUAACUUCAGGAAACAGGGGCGCAUACCGGGUAGGAGCACCUGCUGCAUGGGGGGGGUUGGUAAGUUUCGGCUGUUGGGGAUGGACUCGCGGCCCAUCAGCUUGUUGGUGGGGUAGUGGCUUACCAAGGCUUUGACGGGUAGCCGGCCUGAGAGGGUGACCGGCCCCAUUGGGUCUGGGAUGCGACCCGGACUCCUACGGGAGGCAGCAGUGGAGAAUAUUGCACGAUGGGCGGAAGCCUGGUGCAGCGACGCCGCGUGCGGGAUGUCGGCCUUCGGGUUGUAAACCGCUUUCGCCUGUGACGAAGCGUGAGUGACGGUAAUGGGUAAAGAAGCACCGGCUAACUACGUG
rnacentral:rRNA from 1 species